rnacentral:piRNA from 1 species
UCACCUAUUGGACUGGGAGACCUAUUUGACU